UGUGUAGGCGGGAUAGCAAGUCAGAGGUGAAAUCCUACAGCUCAACUGUAGAACUGCCUUUGAUACUGUUAUUCUUGAGUAUCGGAGAGGUCGCUGGAAUUCGUGGUGUAGCGGUGAAAUGCGUAGAUAUCACGAGGAACACCGGAGGCGUAGGCGGGCGACUGGACGAUUACUGACGCUGAGGCACGAAAGCGUGGGGAGCAAACAGGAUUAGAUACCCUGGUAGUCC
rnacentral:rRNA from 1 species